rnacentral:rRNA from 1 species
UAGACGACGCUGGCGGCGGGCUUAACACAUGCAAGUCGAACGAGAAAGGGUUCUUCGGAACCCGAGUAAAGUGGCGAACGGGUGCGUAACACGUAGGUAACCUGCCCUUGAGUGGGGAAUAACUACCGGAAACGGUGGCUAAUACCGCAUGAAGACCAGAGAUCGCAUGAUCUUCGGUUGAAAGACUUCGGUUGCUCAAGGAUGGGCCUGCGGCGGAUUAGCUUGUUGGUGAGGUAAAAGCUCACCAAGGCUACGAUCCGUAGCUGGUCUGAGAGGAUGAUCAGCCACACUGGCACUGAGACACGGGCCAGACUCCUACGGGAGGCAGCAGUGAGGAAUCUUGCGCAAUGGAGGAAACUCUGACGCAGCCACGCCGCGUGAAGGAAGACACCCCUAUGGGGCGUAAACUUCUUUUAUAUGGGAAGAACACCCUGCCCGGCAGGGUCUGACGGUACCAUAUGAAUAAGCACCGGCUAACUCCGUGCCAGCAGCCGCGGUAAUACGGAGGGUGCAAGCGUUGUCCGGAAUCACUGGGUGUAAAGGGUGUGUAGGCGGGGCAGUAAGUCAGAGGUGAAAGCCCACGGCUCAACCGUGGAAUUGCCUUUGAUACUGCUGUUCUUGAGUCCUGGAGAGGUCGCCGGAAUUCGUGGUGUAGCGGUGAAAUGCGUAGAUAUCACGAGGAACACCGGAGGUGUAGACGGGUGACUGGACAGGUACUGACGCUGAGGCACGAAAGCGUGGGGAGCAAACAGGAUUAGAUACCCUGGUAGUCCACGCCGUAAACGAUGGAUGCUCGGUGUUGCCCCGUUUCAGGGGCAGUGCCCAAGCUAACGCAUUAAGCAUCCCACCUGGGGAGUACGCUCGCAAGAGUGAAACUCAAAG